GUUCUUUGAAAAGUAGAUAAACAAGAAAACAAUAGCCAUUUUUAAAGGAAGUAAGGGCGUACAGUGGAUGCCUUGGCACUAAGAGCCGAUGAAGGACGA
rnacentral:rRNA from 1 species